AGUGAACGCUGGCGGUAGGCCUAACACAUGCAAGUCGAACGGCAGCACAGUAAGAUCGUGCUCUUACGGGUGGCGAGUGACGGACGAGUGAGGAAUACAUCGUAAUCUACUGUUUCGGGGGGGAUAACGUGGGGAGACUGACGCUAAUACCGCAUACCACCUACGACUGAAAGCAGGGGAGAUUGGUACCUUUCGCUAUUUAAUGAGCCGAUGUCGGAUUAGUUAGUUGGCGGGGUAAAGGCCCACCAAGGCAACGAUCCGUAGCUAGCCUGAGAGGAUGAUCGCCAAAAUUGGACUUGAGACACGGUCCAGACUCCUCCGGGAGGCACCAGUGGGGAAUAUUGGACAAUGGGCGCAAGCCUGACCCAGCAAUCCCGCGUGGGUGAAGAAGGUCUCGGGGUUGUAAAGCCCUUUUGUUGGGAAAGAAAAGCAGCAGGUUAAUACCCCGAUGUUGUGACGGUAACCACCGAAUAAGCAACGGCUAACUUCGUG
rnacentral:rRNA from 1 species